UGAGGAAUUUUCCGCAAUGGGCGAAAGCCUGACGGAGCGACGCCGCGUGGGUGAUGAAGUCUUUCGGGAUGUAAAGCCCUGUCGGGGGGGACGAUAUUGACGGUACCCCCAAAGGAAGCCACGGCUAACUACGUGCCAGCAGCCGCGGUAAUACGUAGGUGGCGAGCGUUAUCCGGAAUCAUUGGGCGUAAAGCGCGCGUAGGUGGUUUUGUAAGUUGGAUGUAAAAGGCUACGGCUUAACCGUGGUAAGCAUUCAAUACUGCAAAGCUGGAGAGAUUCAGAGGGAAGGGGAACUUUCGGUGUAGCGGUGAAAUGCGUAGAUAUCGAAAGGAACACCAGUGGCGAAGGCGCCUUCCUGGGGAUUUUCUGACACUGAGGCGCGAAAGCCAGGGGAGAGAACGGG
rnacentral:rRNA from 1 species